UACGUAGGGUGCGAGCGUUGUCCGGAAUUAUUGGGCGUAAAGAGCUCGUAGGCGGCCUGUCGCGUCGGAUGUGAAAGCCCGGGGCUUAACCCCGGGUCUGCAUUCGAUACGGGCAGGCUAGAGUGUGGUAGGGGAGAUCGGAAUUCCUGGUGUAGCGGUGAAAUGCGCAGAUAUCAGGAGGAACACCAGUGGCGAAGGCGGGUCUCUGGGCCGAUACUGACGCUGAGGAGCGAAAGCGUGGGGAGCGAACAGG
rnacentral:rRNA from 1 species